rnacentral:misc_RNA from 1 species
AGUACCCAGGCCUAGGGACCUUUAGCUCAGCUGGCCAUGUUCUGAAAGAGGUCUGUUUCAAUCAUCCAAAUAGUUCAUCUAACCAAGCCAAGUCAUCAGACCACUCUACCAUCGGGAGCAGAGUGGAACAAAAACUGUUGACUUUUGAAGAUAAUAUUGUUAUACAGUUUGACUCAUCUGUUUCCAGUGGGAACUCCUUGGAUGUCUUUCACACUCCAAAAAAAAAGAAUAGUAAUUGUUGCUUGUGUGAGACAUUGGAGGAGGUCUGAUUGCAUUAGUUGCUGAGCAACCAUUAGUUGCUAAGCGCAAAGUUUUAAUUUUGUUGAAGACCUCUCAUCAGAGUGUUGAUUUUUGUCUUAUAUUUAUUGGACAGGUGUGAGUAAAUGAGUUCAUGUAUUAUUUUGUUAGAAAAAUAGAUUUUUCUAGACACUCUUUCAUCCAAUGUGAACUGAUAGAUCAUGGGUUUAUAUUGUUGUAUUUUAGUUUCUUAAACAAAUUACACUUUGUAAGCAUCAAUGCUAACAUGCAUAUUGGUGAUGUACUUGUGCAGCAGAUGAAUUUUUAACAGAUUUGUUCAAUUUGUACAUAUAUAUAGGUCCUAACUUAUCACCAAACAGAAAAUAUCCCCCCUUUUUCUAUUGUUUGAUAUAUGUGUGAUAUCAUAUUGAUGUAUAUUUUGAGGAUUGUGUUCAGUUUGUGAUUAGGAACAUUUAAUUUAAAUCAAUAUUUUUAUUCUUCUGAAAAAAAAAUCAGUGAGAUCAUUGUUUUAUUUUCUUCAUACCUUCAUUUUGCAUUUUGUUGCCAUAGAAACAUGUAAAUAUUUAUAGAGUGCUGUUCUCCACUUGAAUCGUCAGUAAAUCCAAGGUAGUGGUUUCACUUGACCUGAUGUACCAAAAUAAACAUGGUUAAUAAUG